CCAGUUUCCAUCCCUCCUGCUCCCCGUUAAGCCUUGUUGUGAAAACAUUCUGACGAUUGGGGUUUUGGCGGAGAGGGCGGGUGUCAGCUGGUUUGAGCCUGCCCAGGUGAGCUCAGCAGCUCCCACCUCCACCUUGGAGGGGAGGAGACUUUGGAUUUCUCAGAGACAGUUGGACCCUCGCUGGGUGGGCCUGUGCCCGAGGCGCCUUGAGGACAACACAGAGAGCAACGUCCAGGGAAAAUUCCCAGGAGUUAGUUGCCUCGUUCAAAGAUCUGAACAUCUUCUGGCGCUUGACACAUUUUGCUGGAUUGCUCUUCAGAAGGACCGCACCUCACGCGUUGCUACCAGCAAUGGGUGCCGGGUGUUUCCCAGCCUUGCACCAGUGGAUGGUCUCUUGGCUCGUGUUUUACCCCUGCUGAUUUAAAAGGUGUACCGUGGUCCCUUAGAGUUUUUAAGAUGUUUAUUUUGGGUAUAAGGC
rnacentral:lncRNA from 1 species